CGCGUAGGCGGUCAGGUAAGUGGAAUGUGAAAUGCCCCGGCUCACCCGGGGACCGGCAUCCCAAACUGCCUGGCUUGAGUAUGGGAGAGGAUGGAGGAAUUCCUGGUGUAGCGGUGAAAUGCGUAGAUAUCAGGAGGAACACCGGUGGCGAAGGCGUCCAUCUGGCCCAAUACUGACGCUGAGGCGCGAAAGCUAGGGGAGCAAACG
rnacentral:rRNA from 1 species